AUUGAACGCUGGCGGCAGGCUUAACACAUGCAAGUCGAGCGGAGAGAGGUAGCUUGCUACUGAUCUUAGCGGCGGACGGGUGAGUAAUGCUUAGGAAUCUGCCUAUUAGUGGGGGACAACAUUUCGAAAGGAAUGCUAAUACCGCAUACGUCCUACGGGAGAAAGCAGGGGAUCUUCGGACCUUGCGCUAAUAGAUGAGCCUAAGUCGGAUUAGCUAGUUGGUGGGGUAAAGGCCUACCAAGGCGACGAUCUGUAGCGGGUCUGAGAGGAUGAUCAGCCACACUGGGACUGAGACACGGCCCAGACUCCUACGGGAGGCAGCAGUGGGGAAUAUUGGACAAUGGGCGGGAGCCUGAUCCAGCCAUGCCGCGUGUGUGAAGAAGGCCUUAUGGUUGUAAAGCACUUUAAGCGAGGAGGAGGCUACUUUAGUUAAUACCUAGAGAUAGUGGACGUUACUCGCAGAAUAAGCACCGGCUAACUCUGUGCCAGCCGCCGCAGUAACAC
rnacentral:rRNA from 1 species